CCUACGGGGGGCUGCAGUGGGGAAUAUUGGACAAUGGGCGAAAGCCUGAUCCAGCCAUGCCGCGUGUGUGAAGAAGGCCUUCGGGUUGUAAAGCACUUUCAGUGGGGAAGAAAGCCUUGGGGCUAAUACCCUCGAGGAAGGACAUCACCCACAGAAGAAGCACCGGCUAACAUCCGUGCCAGCAGCCGCGGUAAUACGGAGGGUGCGAGCGUUAAUCGGAAUUACUGGGCGUAAAGCGCGCGUAGGCGGUCUGAUAAGCCGGUUGUGAAAGCCCCGGGCUCAACCUGGGAACGGCAUCCGGAACUGUCAGGCUAGAGUGCAGGAGAGGAAGGUAGAAUUCCCGGUGUAGCGGUGAAAUGCGUAGAGAUCGGGAGGAAUACCAGUGGCGAAGGCGGCCUUCUGGACUGACACUGACGCUGAGGUGCGAAAGCGUGGGUAGCAAACAGGAUUAGAUACCUAGUAGUC
rnacentral:rRNA from 1 species